rnacentral:tRNA from 7 species
GCUGGUGUGGCUCAGUUGGUAGAGCAGCUGAUUCGUAAUCAGCAGGUCGCCGGUUCAAGUCCGGCCACCAGCUCCA